rnacentral:rRNA from 1 species
UACGAAGGGGGCUAGCGUUGCUCGGAAUCACUGGGCGUAAAGGGCGCGUAGGCGGCCAGCACAAGUCAGUUGUGAAAUCUCCGGGCUUAACUCGGAAAGGUCAACUGAUACUGUGCGGCUAGAGUGCGGAAGGGGCAACUGGAAUUCUUGGUGUAGCGGUGAAAUGCGUAGAUAUCAAGAGGAACACCUGCGGCGAAGGCGGGUUGCUGGGCCGACACUGACGCUGAUGCGCGAAAGCCAGGGGAGCGAACGGG